rnacentral:tRNA from 2 species
GCCGGGGUGGCCGAGCGGCCCAAGGCGCGGGCCUGGAGAGUCCGUCCCCGCAAGGGGGCGUGGGUUCAAAUCCCACCCCCGGCGCCA